rnacentral:misc_RNA from 1 species
GAUGAAGAACGUAGCGAAAUGCGAUACUUGGUGUGAAUUGCAGAAUCCCGUGAACCAUCGAGUCUUUGAACGCAAGUUGCGCCCGAAGCCAUCAGGUUGAGGGCACGUCUGCCUGGGGGUCACAUAUCGUUGCCCAAUGCCUAUUGCAGUGCAAUAGGAAUUUCUAGGGCGAAUGAUGGCUUCCCGUGAGCGUUGUUGCCUCGCGGUUGGUUGAAAAUCGAGUCCUUGGUAGGGUGUGCCAUGGUAGAUGGUGGUCGAGUUAGAACGAUACCGAUCAUGUGCAUGCUCCCCAAAAUAUGGCCUCUAUGACCCACACGCGUCUUUUGACGCUCAUGACGAGACCUCAGGUCAGGCGGGGCUACCCGCUGAAUUUAAGCAUAUCAAUAAGCGGAGGA